rnacentral:rRNA from 1 species
GAAGAAUCCAGAGAUGGAUUUGUGCCUUCGGGAACUGUGAGACAGGUGCUGCAUGGCUGUCGUCAGCUCGUGUUGUGAAAUGUUGGGUUAAGUCCCGCAACGAGCGCAACCCUUAUCCUUUGUUGCCAGCGAUUAGGUCGGGAACUCAAAGGAGACUGCCAGUGAUAAACUGGAGGAAGGUGGGGAUGACGUCAAGUCAUCAUGGCCCUUACGACCAGGGCUACACACGUGCUACAAUGGCGCAUACAAAGAGAAGCGACCUCGCGAGAGCAAGCGGACCUCAUAAAGUGCGUCGUAGUCCGGAUUGGAGUCUGCAACUCGACUCCAUGAAGUCGGAAUCGCUAGUAAUCGUGGAUCAGAAUGCCACGGUGAAUACGUUCCCGGGCCUUGUACACACCGCCCGUCACACCAUGGGAGUGGGUUGCAAAAGAAGUAGGUAGCUUAACCUUCGGGAGGGCGCUUACCACUUUGUGAUUCAUGACUGGGGUGAAGUCGUAACAAGGUAACCGUAGGGGAACCUGCGGUUGGAUCACCUCCUUACCUUAAAGAAGC